rnacentral:rRNA from 1 species
UACAGAGGUCUCAAGCGUUGUUCGGGUUCAUUGGGCGUAAAGGGUGCGUAGGCGGCGCGGUAAGUCGGGUGUGAAAUCUCGGGGCUUAACUCCGAAACUGCAUUCGAUACUGCUGUGCUUGAGGACUGGAGAGGAGACUGGAAUUUACGGUGUAGCGGUGAAAUGCGUAGAUAUCGUAAGGAAGACCAGUGGCGAAGGCGGGUCUCUGGACAGUUCCUGACGCUGAGGCACGAAGGUCAGGGGAGCAAACGGG